CGAACGAAGCACUCUUUUAGAUUUCCUUCGGGGAAGAAGAAAUUGUGACUGAGUGGCGGACGGGUGAGUAACGCGUGGGCAACCUGCCCCAUACAGGGGGAUAACAGCCGGAAACGGCUGCUAAAACCGCAUAAGCGCACAAGGGCCGCAUGGCCUGGUGUGAAAAACUCCGGUGGUAUGGGAUGGGCCCGCGUCUGAUUAGCUAGUUGGCGGGGGAGAGGCCCACCAAGGCGACGAUCAGUAGCCGACCUGAGAGGGUGGCCGGCCACAUUGGGACUGAGACACGGCCCAAACUCCUACGGGAGGCAGCAGUGGGGAAUAUUGCACAAUGGGGGAAACCCUGAUGCAGCGACGCCGCGUGAGCGAAGAAGUAUUUCGGUAUGUAAAGCUCUAUCAGCAGGGAAGAAAAAUGACGGUACCUGAGUAAGAAGCACCGGCUAAAUACGUGCCAGCAGCCGCGGUAAUACGUAUGGUGCAAGCGUUAUCCGGAUUUACUGGGUGUAAAGGGAGCGCAGGCGGUGCGGCAAGUCUGAUGUGAAAGCCCGGGGCUCAACCCCGGGACUGCAUUGGAAACUACCGAACUAGAGUGUCGGAGAGGUAAGUGGAAUUCCUAGUGUAGCGGUGAAAUGCGUAGAUAUUAGGAGGAACACCAGUGGCGAAGGCGGCUUACUGGACG
rnacentral:rRNA from 1 species